rnacentral:rRNA from 1 species
CAGCCGCCGCGGUAAUACGAAGGGGGCUAGCGUUGCUCGGAAUUACUGGGCGUAAAGGGAGCGUAGGCGGAUUGUUAAGUUGGGGGUGAAAGCCCGGGGCUCAACCUCGGAACUGCCUUCAAUACUGGCGAUCUUGAGUAUGAGAGAGGUGUGUGGAACUCCGAGUGUAGAGGUGAAAUUCGUAGAUAUUCGGAAGAACACCAGUGGCGAAGGCGACACACUGGCUCAUUACUGACGCUGAGGCUCGAAAGCGUGGGGAGCAAACAGGAUUAGAUACCCCCGUAGUCCCUGUCUCUUAUAA